UACGGGGGGAGCAAGCGUUGUUCGGAUUUACUGGGCGUAAAGGGCUCGUAGGCGGCCAACUAAGUCAGACGUGAAAUCCCUCGGCUUAACCGGGGGAACUGCAUCUGAUACUGGAUGGCUUGAGUUCGGGAGAGGGAUGCGGAAUUCCAGGUGUAGCGGUGAAAUGCGUAGAUAUCAAGCGGAACACCGGUGGCGAAGGCGGCCUUCUGGACAGUGACUGACGCUGAGACGCGAAAGCGUGGGGAGCAAACAGG
rnacentral:rRNA from 1 species